rnacentral:rRNA from 1 species
UACGUAGGGGGCAAGCGUUGUCCGGAAUCAUUGGGCGUAAAGGGCGUGUAGGCGGUUAGUUAAGUCUGGCGUGAAAGCUCUCGGCUAAACCGGGAGAGGUCGUUGGAUACUGGCUGACUAGAGGACGGUAGAGGCGUGUGGAAUUCCGGGUGUAGUGGUGAAAUGCGUAGAGAUCCGGAGGAACACCAGUGGCGAAGGCGACACGCUGGGCCGUACCUGACGCUAAAGCGCGACAGCAUGGGGAGCAAACGGG